AAAAAAAAAAAACUGCAACCUUCCCUUCUUCCCCCACGAUCUCAUUAUGUCCACUUCUCAAUUCUUCAACAAUAAAACACAGAUGAUUUCAUACAAAAAGCUCGCAUCUCUUCUAUUUCUGAUUCAUGUUUCUUCUUGCCUUGAUCAGGAACACCAUUGAAAGGAGAAGGUUCUGGCAAAUUGAGUUUUUUUAAUGAACUGAUUGUCACAAGACAAGAAGAACAACAACAUCAACAAGAAUAAGAUGACGCUUAACAUUCGUCGUGAAUCUUCCAAGCUAUGGAAGAGAUUUUGCUCUGAGAUAACGAUGGAGAUUGGUCUUCUUGCUGAGAACUUGAGAUAUCUUCUGGCUGGUCCUAUCCAUCAGGUUUACAUCUUAAAGUUCUGAACUUUUUGUUUUAACUUUAGUUUCAUUUACUGAGAACUUUGAUGUAUAUGAUAUUCAAUCACUUUUUAUCCAGUUUGCGGCUAAUUAUUCCAGAGUAAAAAAGGCAUGCCUAAUUCUCCAAGGUUUAUUUUUAUGAAUAAAUUUAAACAGUUUCAAUAUCACUUUCUUUGACUUGCAUGUCUCUCAAGAUUAAUUCUUUGCCCACAAAAGAGAAACAAUAUGUAUGGCAAAAAUUCCAGAGGUGUUUGCAAUA